CUGAUGCAUUUGACUGGUUUUAUCUUAACCAGACCAUUCCUUCUGUAGUCAGGAGAGCACCCCUGCCCCAUCUGCUCGGAACACCCCAUUAUCUUUGUGCUCUCGCUGCAGCUCAUUGGGUUCCAUAUUUUCCUUGCCCCCUCCAAGUAUAGCCUGGGUUGCAGAGUUAAGUUUAUGAUUAUGAAAUAAAAGCUAAACAAACAAACAAACAAAAGAAAUAUGUACUUAUAAUGUUAACCAAGAUUUAGUAGUAAAUUUUGUGUUAGAAUUUCCAUCAUCUGGCCAUAUAUAUUUGGGCCUAAAUCUCCCCUAAGUUGACAUUAAUGAGAAACUCUGGUGAUGUAGACUCUGAAUACAUUCACUUUUAGAAAAAGUAAACUCUUUUAUUGGGAAGUGCUGCUUCAAGUCAGCAAAUAGGAGCAGAAAUCCCUAAUUCCCAGUAUUAGUGAUCUUAUUCACCUUAGAACAACUUAAAAGAGUUUGUUAAUAUGAAUGCCAGCAAACACUCAUGUUUUGGGAUUUUUCUAGUCCAAAAGUAGAGUACAAAUUCACUUUGUCACUUUUAGAAAAGAUUGUCUCCUCUUCACUUGAACUUAAAGUUCAGUUUAGUUAAAGUCAAUAGACUGGAAGAAUAAGAGUAGAUAUUUUCAUGUAAGACUUAGAAACCAACCUGAGCAAAGGAUGCUAAAUCAGCUGGGUGCAUGUUCACAAAUGUGCUACAUGUAUUUUAUCCUUGCCCUGUUUCUGUGCCACCCCCAGUAGGUUUUUAUGGGGCUUUAUAUUUGAGAUCAAUUAUACAAUAGAUUGGAGAUAUGGAAUCUUGGGGUCCCAGUGUAUAGGGAGCUUGUUUAAUUUUCCUGAAUCUGUCUGAAUUCCCCCAUCAGUAAAACAGACAUGAAAAUACCUACUCACAGGUUGCUUCAUGAAUCAAAGGAUAUAAAUUAGAAUAAAUAGUAGUCAUAGCUUAUGUUUAUUGAAAAAUUCCUGUGUGCCAGGCACUAUUCUAAGGAUUUUACACGUACUCACUCAUUUCAUCCUCCCUGAAACACUACUAUUUCUGUUUUACAGUUAAGGAAACCGAGACACAGUGUAUAGAAACUUUGAAACCUAAAACACAUUAAACAAAUGUAAGCUAUUGUCUUAAUUCUCCCUAUAGUAGCCUUUCCCCUCUCAAUUUGACCUAAGUCCAGCACCAUUCAAAAUCCAAAUCUGUGCUUUGCUCCAUUUGUAUGAAAUUGUUCUCUUUUGCCCUCUGAGGUUUCCUGAGGAUACGAUGAUGGUAACCGUGGUGUAUGAUAACUGAGGCAACAGAUCCCUAUGCAGCUCAACAACUCUACCUGAAGCCCAUAGCAAAACUGAUGAUCAGUGUAUUGCUCCCAGAGAGUACAGAACCUAUGAGGCCUUUCUUGAACUGGGAAGUCCUUGACCAGCUGAAGAGCCUGAUUUGCCCUGAUCAGUUCACCACAGUUCAGCUUUCCAAGAGUACGAAGGACUUCAUCUGAUUUGAGGGGCAGGCUGAAACAUGAAGUUUGAUUCAGAUCCUGAAGGCAAAGUUACAUGGGAAGAUCAUCAAGCUAAAUGGUUUGAAAACAGACUUGAAAGUAGUGGCUUCAGAUGCCCAAGGAGAGUGGGAGCGCUUCUCCAAGGAACAGGAAACCCCAUCAAGUGAUGGAGCUGAUGAGCAGGGCCGUGAUAAGAGCCUGGAUUCCAUACAUUUUGAAGGCUUACCCUGCAACUGGUUUGCACCUAAAGGUUCCAGUGGGGAAAAGCCAUGUGAAGAGAUUCUUCGGGUGGUCUUUGAGUGUUUUGGGAAGAUCAAGAAUGUGGAUAUCCCUAUGCUUGACCCCUACAGAGAGGCAAUGACUGGUGAGAGCUUUGGGGGCUUUAGCUUCUGCUUGGAGAUGUUUGAGGCUUUUAUACAGUACCAGGAGUCAACUGACUUCAUAAAAGCCAUGGAGUCCCUUCGAGGCAUGAAGCUGAUGCUUAAAGGGGAGGAAGGGAAAGCUCUGGCAUGUAACAUUAAGGUUUUGUUUGAUACAACCAAACACUUCAGUGAAGGAACUUUAAAGAGGAGAGAUCAAGAAAGUCUAAAAUUACAAGAGCUGGAAGAAGAAAGGAAAAAACAAAAGAAGAGAGAAGAGGAAGAGGCUGAAAAGUCUGGAGAAGGUUUUCCUCCAUAGAAUGAUCAAUAUUCAAACAAGCCCACAGGCAAGAAGGAAUCCACACAGGAGGUAGAUGUUGCAGGCCCUGAAGCUAAUCAUGAUCUGGUGAACACAUUGGAAACGCUGAAGAAAAAAGUGUUAAAUAUGCAGUAUCUUCAAAAUCAGGAGGAAAUGCCAAAUAUCAGUUGUCAAUUGAUAUUGUCAAUACAGACAAUAAACAAACACAAAAAAUGAAGAAAGGAACUGGGGCUCACUUACAUAAAUCUCCCAACUACCAUCAGAAAAUACAAAAAAGAUAUUCAGCUAGAAAAGAGAAAACUAGAAAAUUAUUAACUGAUGGAUACAGGCACAGUUUUGUCUCUAACCAGGAGUCCUUACAAAUUACAUUAAUUCAAGGUCAGCUUCUUGAGAAAGAAAAUCAUCUGAGUUCUAAUAAAUGCUAUCCUUCCAAAUUAUCUAAGAGAGACCAUGGCAGGAAACAGAAGAUCUAUGAAACAGAUGAAUUUAUUGACUACCUAUUAAACUAUUACAACUAUCAGACUCCAAAAUAUGCCUCUGUCUGCCUAGAACCAAGUCACACAACAAGCACACGUCAGUGGCAGAGGUCUAUCCAUGCCAAGGAAAUGGAUUUCAAAUCAAUUUGAGAAAGUGUAAGUGUCACUCAACCAGGUUGAGUCAAAUGCAAAACCUGGAAAGCAGAAAACAAGUUCAAGAAGAUGAUUACAGGAGAAAGAUUUGUACUCAGCGUCCUGUGCAUAAAUCACAAAAAAGAGGAAAAGGGACUUGUACCAAAUAACGUACGAAGGAAUUUAAAUAUCAUUGUAAGGACACAGCCAAUGAAGUUGGUGAUCAGCUGACUCCAGCUGAUGGAAAGGGCCAUCUGUUGGAAAAGACCCAUGCUUACCAGGUCAAAGAUUCCAAAUCCAGAAGUCAAAGCUAAGUUUCCUCACCCAACAGGUCAGCAGGCUUACAUUUGGAGUUGACAGAUUUCUUAGAGGAUAUUAGUAGUGACUCUGACUGCUUCAAUGAAACCCUUAGCAUAAACCAAGAGGAGAAAGAGAAAUCUGUGGUCACAUAUGAAAGCGUCCCAGAAAAAGGAUCUCUUGACACUGAUAAAACCAUCACUUGCAAUCAAGAAAUUAGGUCAAGUCAGCAGACCUUGUAUUCAAAGUGGAAACAUGAUGGGGAGGAGAAAUACUCUAAAUACCAGCUUAGGAAAUCAGGCAACAGGUCCAAGUAUGAAUUGAGAUGUUCAUGGCUUAAAAGGAAAAACAAUUCCAUGAGCGAUGAGAAGAGCAACUGCAAAAAGAGGGAACUACUAGCCCCCAAAUACUUGUUUGAUAAAGGCAACUACCACAAAUCCAGUUCCAGUGACCUAUUAGACCAUAUCACAAGAAAGAGGAGGAGGAUUAGUAAUUAUUUAUUUGGCCAGAAGGUGAACUAUAGGCCCUCUCAUGUGCCAAUAACAUCAUCAAAAUGUGCUAAUGUUUUCUAUUUGGGGGAUUUCCCCAAUAGAAGAGAGACUCUGUGGAAGUCAGAAUAUAACCAGGAUUCAAGAAGGUUUAAAAGACAUUAGAAUUCUACAGAUUUCGUGCUGACUUCUGGUAAUUAUAUUAGACAUAACAGUCAGGAGCACAUGGACUAUAGAAGCUAUUAAACAACAGCUACACUACUUCUUUAUAUUUUUUAAUGUUUUGGAGUUCUUUUAGAUAAGGAACAUCCUUAUUCACAAUAAACAAUUUGCAAAAAGAACAUUUAAAAUCAAAUACAGCUGUGUCGUUAGCAAUGACAAGGGCAAGAAAGCAACAUUUAAAAGCUUGAGCAAGGUCAAAUAAAAAACCUUGUUUAUCUUGCCAGAGUAUAAAGCAUAGGUCAAAAGCACUGCAGGUGUGUUGGCAAGCUUUGGAAAUAUAAAACAUCCAGUUUCUGAAGCUUGGUAAAACAAUGUGAUUGAAAAACUUGAUCCAAGGACAGACAUUUCUACAGUUCAACUGCAACUUUAAUUUCGUGCAAGGAAGGAGCAAAUUAACAUCGACAGGUGUUUGGCCCUUUAGCUGUCAUAAGGUCGUCAUUUAGUGUAAUUUAUCUUCAAAGUGGACAACAGUGAAUAAAUAAGGAUCUUUUUACAUGUUUUUUUAUUUGGUCAGAACACCAUGUACAACAAACUUUCCUGAAUUUUUACCUAGAAAUACCUAUAGAUAAAAGAAGAGAGAUAACAGCUUGAACAUAUAAUAGACUUCUUCAUGACAUUUGAAGGUUUCAUGAACACCCAUCAGAAGGAAAUUAAUCUUAUUAAUAUGUUCAUAGAACUCAAAGAGUUGCCCUUUUAGAAACAAAGUCUUGGAAGAAGAAUCUAAAAGGGGCUCAGAUUGUCGAGGCUUAAACAGACAGUGGACCAUUAGCAGAGUUAUUUUUGAAGAACCCAUGUCAUUCCAGCCUAGAAAAGCAACAGGAAUGAGGUGAUACAACCAGUGGGAUUUGCAAAAUGAAAUAUUGAGAGAUACUGGGGCACCAGUAAUGGCACUUGGCAAGAGAGGACAUGACAAUAUUCCAUUUUAGGUUAUGUAAUCCUUUCACUCAGGGUUGGGUGACAUCAGUUUAUGAAAAGCCACUGACUAUCCCCAAACUGACUUUUAUUAAGCAGUAACAAGUGCCUCCUCAAUCCUCAAUAAUGCCUUGGAGUUAGGAAGAGUCGAAGGAAACACCCAUAGUUUUCUACCUGGGGUAAGUCAUACAUAUGCAGGAUUUGUAAACUCUUGAUACAAGCAAUUUAUCUUUUUACCUACUGGUUUUGGACUUCUUGAAUAUGUUUUUAAAUUGAGAUAUUUUAUAGAUUCAUAAGGACUUAACAUCUUAACACAGUGCAUCUUCUAUUGAAAGCUGAUUCAUUCUGCCUUAUAUUGGAUUUAGACUUUAGGGGCAGUAGAUGAACUUUUUUCCCCAACCUUGACUUGGCAAUUGAAAACAUCAAUGAAAUUAGACUACCUGCAGCAGGAAAAGGUGAUUUUAAUCCACAGAAGUAUUGGAAGGCAACAUUAUCAUAUGACAUGAUUCAUUUCCGAUAAUCCUAAUUUGAUAGAAAAGUACCAGCCAGCUGGCACAGCCAAAGUAGGAUGCCAGUCAGUGUGGUUGCCCAGAAUGAAAAAGGAUGAUAUAUGCUCAUAACCAGCCUUUUGAGCAACCUGAUAUCUGAAGAGGCUACAAAAUCUAGUUUAUCUGAAGUGAGAGUCACAUGUUGUCUCAUUGAUCUCUUCUAAGCACAUUUAAUAGAGGUAUGCUAGUACAUGCAAAAGUUCAGAAAUGAAUGUAAUGUAGCAGAUUGUUUAUUAUUAAUAAGGAUAAUAACUGAGAAAUGAUUUGUUGGCUCUCUUGUCUUCAAUUCCACUUUCAAGCCAGUGACUCUGCCAUCAAAACUAGGUUUGGCUUGUCAAAUCUGAAAAAUCGCUCAUGGGGUGAGUGCCUUUUCUCCUCUGAGGACUAGCAAUGACUAUUAAUGUUCAAAGCACUGUUGUCCAGGGCAGCAAACUACCAACAGCUUGUAUUUUGUCAGACAACUUUUGUGCAACUAGAUAUCAUUUUCCUCCAAUGAGACCCUGCCUCCUUAUUUUUUCAUGUUUCAAGUCAUUGAAACAAAGAACAUUAUGGGUUUGUGGGCUGGCCGAGUGGCGCGAUGGUUAAGAACUGGAUUGGGAUGCCAGAGGGCCCCGGUUCGGAUCCCACAU